UCCAUUUUCGAUACAAUUAUUUGUAUCCAACGCACGCUUUGCCGUUGCUCUAAUCCAUUGUCGUCAAAGAAGCUCCAAGCGAACAGGCUACAACAUGAAACGCUAGAUUGAAAUGGAAACCCGUCCAACGCAAGGACUAACCGUGUGUUGUGGGUGACACUCGGGUAUUAUCAUACGUGUUUCCCGCCUACAAUUCACACCAAACUUUUGGCGGCCAUGUUGAAUGUAAUGCGCGUGCCCAACUCCCCGCAAGGAAAACACAAGGUGUAGGCGAGUGACGGCUCGAUUCAGAUGUCGAGCACACUUACACGGCCUUAUAACGUCCCCCCUCGCACAUGAGACUUUGUCCAUACCCAACUUUGGUUUCCAUAAGAGAAAAGUGAAGAGGGAGGUUGGGGGGAGGAUGAGGAGGAAGAGAAGGAAUUUUUCAAAAAACCUGUACUGGUUCUUCGGUCGAGAAAAUGCGUGUUUUAUGGCAGGACUAAUUUCUUGACUUUCUUGAAACAAGAUUAGCUGCAUAGAUGGGAAAAAUUGCCAAUCAAUAAAACGCAAGACUUAAACUUUUGGGUACCCUACCUUGAACCACAAAAUUGUAGGCCUUUAUGGUAAUCAUUAAAUGUUGUGCAUUUCCCCUGGUUGGUAUGGAGCCUGGUCUUGGGAUCCAUGUAUGGCGUUGUCUGCGCGCUUUCACCUUAAAGUCAACGUUAAGGUGAAACGGGUCAACAGUCGUUUGUCUGCCGUUCACGAGACCCAUGUUCGUGGUACUUGCAACACUGGGGAAAAAAGUUUUUCGUCUCGACUCCGUUUAUUGCGUUAUAUAGCUUUCGACUAACGGCAUUAGUAACGAAAACUUUUUUCAUGACGAAAUGGAACGUUGGCCAUGAAAAUUGGUUGCUGUUAGCUAUAAAAUAGUCGUCCUUUCCAUUCUUGCUGAUGCAUGUGUUGAAAACGAUUUAGACACAUCGACCUUAUUCUUUAUUGUAAUGAGAAGUUGGUUGUAAAAAUCUCUACAGUUUUGGCUGGUGCUUACACACCUGAGGCUGGAUGAACAAAGACUUUUCUAGUGAAAAGCAUGGGGUGUCGGAUAUGCGUCUCUCAUUUAGUUACAAAACACACAAAGACUCAGUCUUCUAGAGAUACCAUUUAAAGAUUUGUUUUCUCGUUUAUUGUUAUGAGAAAGGAAUCAAAUAACCAAAACAAUGAGAAACUUAUACAUGGAGAGAUGAACAAUAUUAUGUGUACAUGCGCAUUUCAUGCUUGAAAAGCGUUGAGAAAGCUACACUCGUGACGAAACUUGGAGUAAUCACGGCAUUCGUGUUAUCAAGUGGCAUUAAAUUUUGGUUUUUUCAUUCAACACGACCGCUACGAAAAUGAGAAAAUUUACGUAGAAAAAAAUAAAUAAAUAAACGGAUCUUCUAGGAGUAGGGUUUAUCUUUUUUUUUUUUUUCGUUUUAAUCACAUAAUGGAUUAGAAUUAACAUACAUGAGAGGUCUGUUGUUUAAUUGUCCUCACUUUCUUUUCCAUGA